CCUUUUGAUCUGAUCCAUGGUUCCUAUUGCACUGAAUCGAACAGUUGGGGACACUAGAAGAAACGAUCUCGUCAACAACGUUACAGUAUCUGGAAUGGGGUGUAUUUUUCCCGGUAGUAUUUCGCCAUUAUGCAGUUGACUGAUAAUAAAUAACUGGUAUAGGCCUAUAUGCUAUUAUGGGGAUUGAUCAUAUAUGAUAGUCUGAAACCGGUGAUGACGUCAUCGUAUGAGACCUAGGCGGUACUCGGAGUUUCCGUUCUAUAUUUUCAAUGAGAAAAACACUUCCUAAACAACGCGGAAACAAGGUGGAGAUAGAUAUAGUAUGGACGCCGUUCAUUAUUAAACGUUCUUAUUGACUGGUAUACUAAAGUUCAUGGUUAUUUGCUGGCACGACGAUCUGAGUCAAGUGCGCGCGCCGCAUGAUAAAAGGACCAACAUCAUGUUACACCCACGUGCUCGUCCUGUUUAGCUAAACUAUUGGUGAUUGUUAUUUGCAGAUGUACCAUGCUUUUUUGGAAAACAUUAUACCGAUCUCAAAAGGAAACGUCAUGAAAAAUAACACUGUACCAAGAUAGAUCAUUUGAAACGCUACCUCACUUGGUUAAUGGAUGUAAUUUUCCUAACUUUUGAAUCAAAUCUUGCAUUGGAAACUAUAUAGGACACAAUUAGAAGAAGUCAUGGGUUGCCCUAUGUCAAAGAAAAUCGAAGGUUGGUUGCUGGCCAGAAAUUCUAAGCCACGCUUUUGGAGAAUUAUAAUGCUUGGACUGGAUGGAGCAGG